UGGGCGUAAGGGUACGCAGGCGGCUUUGUAAGUCAGAUGUGAAAGACUAUGGCUUAACUGUGGUAAGCGUUUGAAACUACAGAGCUUGAGUACAGGAUGGGAGAGUGGAAUUCCUAGUGUAGCGGUGAAAUGCGUAGAUAUUAGGAGGAAUACCAGUGGCGAAGGCGACUCUCUGGACUGUAACUGACGCUGAGGUACGAAAGCAUGGGGAGCAAACAGGAUUAGAUACCCUGGUAGUCCAUGCUAUAAACGAUGAGUGCUAGGUGUUGGGAGGGACACCUCUCGGUGCCGAAGUUAACACAUUAAGCACUCCGCCUGGGGAGUACGGUCGCAAGACUGAAACUCAAAGGAAUUGACGGGGACCCGCACAAGCAGCGGAGCAUGUGGUUUAAUUCGAUGCAACGCGAAGAACCUUACCAGGGCUUGACAUCCUUCAGCCAGGGCUAGAGAUAGCCCCUUCCCUUCGGGGACUGAGGAGACAGGUGGUGCAUGGUUGUCGUCAGCUCGUGUCGUGAGAUGUUGGGUUAAGUCCCGCAACGAGCGCAACCCUUGUCUUUAGUUGCAAACAGCUAGGCUGUGCACUCUAAAGAGACUGCCGAUGACAAAUCGGAGGAAGGUGGGGAUGACGUCAAAUCAUCAUGCCCUUUAUGUCCUGGGCUACACACGUGCUACAAUGGUCGGUACAACGGGAAGCGACCUCGUGAGAGUGAGCAAAUCCUAUAAAGCCGAUCUCAGUUCGGAUUGUAGGCUGCAAUUCGCCUACAUGAAGCCGGAGUUGCUAGUAAUCGCGGAUCAGCAUGCCGUG
rnacentral:rRNA from 1 species